UGUGUGUCUAGGCAGCUUGCAGA
rnacentral:piRNA from 1 species